AGCUCCAAUAGCGUAUAUUAAAGUUGUUGCAGUUAAAAAGCUCGUAGUUGGAUUUCUGGCAGGAGGGACCGGUCACGCACUCUGUGUGUGAACUUGGCUCCCUCUGGCCAUCCUUGGGGAGAUCGUGUUUGGCAUUAAGUUGUCGGGCAUGGGAUACCCAUCGUUUACUGUGAAAAAAUUAGAGUGUUUAAAGCAGGCUUAUGCCGUUGAAUAUAUUAGCAUGGAAUAAUAAGAUAGGACUUUGGAACUAUUUUGUUGGUUUGCGUUACAAAGUAAUGAUUAAUAGGGACAGUUGGGGGUAUUCGUAUUUCGUUGUCAGAGGUGAAAUUCUUGGAUUUCCGAAAGACGAACUACUGCGAAAGCAUUUACCAAGGAUGUUUUCAUUAAUCAAGAACGAAAG
rnacentral:rRNA from 1 species